AGUGAACGCUGGCGGUAGGCCUAACACAUGCAAGUCGAACGGCAGCACAGUAAGAGCUUGCUCUUACGGGUGGCGAGUGGCGGACGGGUGAGGAAUACAUCGGAAUCUACUUUUUCGUGGGGGAUAACGUAGGGAAACUUACUCUAAUACCGCAUACGACCUACGGGUGAAAGCAGGGGAUCUUCGGACCUUGCGCGAUUGAAUGAGCCGAUGUCGGAUUAGCUAGUUGGCGGGGUAAAGGCCCACCAAGGCGACGAUCGGUAGCUGGUCUGAGAGGAUGAUCGGCCACACGGGAAGUGGAACACGGUCCAGACUCCUACGGGAGGCAGCAGUGGGGAAUAUUGGACAAUGGGCGCAAGCCUGAUCCAGCCAUACCGCGUGGGUGAAGAAGGCCUUCGGGUUGUAAAGCCCUUUUGUUGGGAAAGAAAAGCAGCAGGUUAAUACCCCGCUGUUCUGACGGUACCCAAAGAAUAAGCACCGGCUAACUUCGUG
rnacentral:rRNA from 1 species